rnacentral:rRNA from 1 species
UACGAAGGGGGGCUAGCGUUGCUCGGAAUUACUGGGCGUAAAGGGCGCGUAGGCGGACAGUUUAGUCAGAGGUGAAAGCCCAGGGCUCAACCUUGGAACUGCCUUUGAUACUGACUGUCUUGAGUUCGGGAGAGGUGAGUGGAAUGCCGAGUGUAGAGGUGAAAUUCGUAGAUAUUCGGCGGAACACCAGUGGCGAAGGCGACUCACUGGCCCGAUACUGACGCUGAGGCGCGAAAGCGUGGGGAGCAAACAGG